GGCUUCAGGUGCACACAACGCUCGUCCUCCAGCCUCCCCAAAGCUCCCCACAGAGCCCGAACCCCGUAUGAGGUCCGUUCUCCUGACACCUCGGCAGUUCCCAGGAGCCCACUCUUUCUCCUGGGUCAAAGUUAACCACCAGUCUGGUCAGUCACUGGCCGAGGACCAGCUCUGAGGGCCCCCUGGGAUCUCUGCCACUUGCACGAGCAGAGCUGCCUUCUGGGCAGAGGCCUCAGGAGGAGAGGCAGGUGCCGGCACCAGGAAGGGACAGGCGACCGAAGCCGUGAGCCCGGGGCACAGGGGGCACCAACUGUGCCUGCUGUGAUCACAGAUGCCAUUGGACGUACAGAAACUUCAUUUCGCCACCUUCUUUGAACUUUGUUUGCUUCCUUUUUCCCCUCAUUUCAAUGCCCUAUAGAUUAAUCAUGUUUCCCUCCUUCCUCUAUUCUUCUGCCAGUUUGUGAGUUGUGCAUACACACUUAUAUCCUAUUCUACCAGUGAUCACCCUUCGGUUUUCAACCAAUUUAUAAUGACUUAUACUAAACAGACUGUAACCGCA